rnacentral:rRNA from 1 species
UACGGAGGGUGCAAGCGUUAUCCGGAUUCACUGGGCUUAAAGGGUGCGUAGGUGGCUUAGUAAGUCAGUGGUGAAAUCUCCGGGCUUAACCCGGAAACUGCCAUUGAUACUAUUAGUCUUGAAUACCGUGGAGGUCAGCGGAAUAUGUCAUGUAGCGGUGAAAUGCUUAGAUAUGACAUAGAACACCAAUUGCGAAGGCAGCUGGCUACACGAGCAUUGACACUCAGGCACGAAAGCGUGGGGAUCAAACAGG